rnacentral:rRNA from 1 species
AGUGAACGCUGGCGGUAGGCCUAACACAUGCAAGUCGAACGGCAGCACAGUAAGAGCUUGCUCUUACGGGGUGCCAGUGGGGGACGGGUGAUGAAGACAUCUGUAUCUACUUGUUCGUGGAGCUAAACGUAGGUAAACUUAUGCUACUAACGCAUUAGAGCUACGGGUGGAGGCCGGGAAUGUUUGGCCCUUUCGGAGUGGAAGAUGCCGAUUUCGGAUUGGCUAGUUGGCGGGGUAAAGGCCCACCAAGGCGACGAUCCGUAGCUGGUCUGAGAGGAGGAUCAGCCACACUGGAACUGAGACACGGUCCAGACUCCUACGGGAGGCAGCAGUGGGGAAUAUUGGACAAAGGGCGCAAGCCUGAUCCAGCCAUACCGCGUGAGUGAAGAAGGCCUUCGGGUUGUAAAGCCCUUUUGUUGGGAAAGAAAAGCAGCAGGUUAAUACCCCGCUGUACUGACGGUACCCAAAGAAUAAGCACCGGCUAACUACGUG